AAUUUUUUCUCCUUCCCUCCAAUUUUGCUCUUCCCUCCACUUUUUUCCCUCCGCUUAUUUAUGUAUGUAGAAUAUUACAUGUCUAAACUGCGUCGUUUUCUUUUGUUCCGUUAAAACACUAUAUUCCACUUUCCCAUUUCAAUUUGAUUUAGCCCUAAUUUAUCCAUCUCCCCUUUUGGUUCGUCCCUCAGCCUUCUCUUCCUCUCUGCUAUCUCGAUCUGCUCCGUCUCGAUCUCUCACGCUCGGUCUCCAUUAUAGCCUCAAUUUCAGAUUCUCUCUCUUCCCCUCACGGAUCCUACUCAUCCUCUCUCUCUUGGUGUCUAUUAUAUCCAUUGACUUCAAAGCCUCGAUUGCGAUCAUUUCACAUUUCAGGUAGAUCUAUCUAUUUUCGUAGCUUUUUCAAAUUGGGAUUCCAGAUUUUAGUUGUUUUGUGUUGCCGGGAAAAUUAUUGUUCUUAGUUUCGUCAAUAAAAUUUUGACUGAGGAAUCCAGGUCGAGGUUGGACGAUUUGGAUCUUUGAUUUCAACCGCUGAAUUCAAAAAAGAAAACAUAAGAGAACUUCAAAAAAGUUACUCUGACUCGCCUAUUGGUAGCUCCAAUGAUUUGUUCUCCAUUGUGAGGGGAGAAGAGAGAACUGGUCGUGUGCGGAUGCUUGGCUUCGGGCCUACACCAAGCGAUGUUUGGGGGCCCUCUCCUAGUAAAGCUGAACUGAUUAAUAAUGCUAAAAAAUCUCAAGAGGAGGCACGUGCUACACGUGUAGAGUUGCAGGAGACGAUUUCUUACAACAACAGGUGGCUAUGCUAAUGCAGAUGCAAUAACAAAAUUAUAGUGGACAGGAUUCUGAUUCUUUAAAUGCUCCUCCUAGAGUAUUCCCAAAUUCAUUUUCUAGUCGUGAUGCCAAUUCAGUUAAGGGUAAUUCAAAUCAAAUGGGCAAGAAGACUUGUUGUUGAAGAUGGGGUCGUGGCUGUGCUUUUUGAAUUUCCUUCGCCUUAGAUGGGUUCUUUUUGAAAAAUUUGUACUACAUUUGUUAAAAAUUCUUAAUUCUUUUUGUGUGACAUUUAGUACCUUUAUCUAGACAAUUUGGAUGGUAUUUUCAUAUUGGCAGGUUAACUUGUGGUUGUAUUAGUAUACAUUUUUUACUAGCUUAACUUGUGGUGGUAUUAGUAGUCAA